rnacentral:rRNA from 1 species
CCUACGGGAGGCAGCAGUGGGGAAUAUUGGGCAAUGGGCGCAAGCCUGACCCAGCAACGCCGCGUGAAGGAAGAAGGCUUUCGGGUUGUAAACUUCUUUUCUGAGGGACGAAGAAAGUGACGGUACCUCAGGAAUAAGCCACGGCUACCUACGUGCCAGCAGCCGCGGUAAUGAGGAGGGGGCAAGCGUUCUCCGGAUGGAUUGGGGGUAAAGGGCGAGUAGGCGGGAAAGCAAGUCAGAUGUGAAAACUCAGGGCUCAACCUUGGGCCUGCAUUUGAAACUGUUUUUCUGGAGUGCUGGAGAGGCAAUUGGAAUGCCGUGUGUAGCGGUGAAAGGCGUAGAUAUACGGAGGAACACCAGUGGCGAAGGCGGAUUGCUGGACAGUAACUGACGCUGAGGCGCGAAAGCGUGGGGAGCAAACAGGAUUAGAUACCCUGGUAGUC